GACGAACGCUGGCGGCGUGCCUAAUACAUGCAAGUAGAACGCUGAAGGAGGAGCUUUCUCUUCUGGAUGAGUUGCGAACGGGUGAGUAACGCGUAUGUAACCUGCCUGUUAGCGGGUGAUAACUAUUGGAAACGCUAGCUAAUACCGCAUAAGAGUAGAUGUUGCAUGACAUUUACUUAAAAGGUGCAAUUUCAUCACUACCUGAUGGACCUUCGUUGUAUUAGCUAGUUGGUGGGGUAACGGCUUAACAAGGCGACGAUACAUAGCCGACCUGAGAGGGUGAUCGGCCACACUGGGACUGAGACACGGCCCAGACUCCUACGGGAGGCAGCAGUAGGGAAUCUUCGGCAAUAGACGGAAGUCUGACCGAGCAACGCCGCGUGAGUGAAGAAGGUUUUCGGAUCGGAAAGCUCUGUUGUAAGAGAAGAACGAGUGUGAGAGUGGAAAGUUCACACUGUGACGGUAUCUUACCAGAAAGGGACGGCUAACUACGUG
rnacentral:rRNA from 1 species